AGAACGAACGCUGGCGGCAUGCCUAACACAUGCAAGUCGAACGAGACCUUCGGGUCUAGUGGCGCACGGGUGCGUAACGCGUGGGAAUCUGCCCUUGGGUUCGGAAUAACAGCGAGAAAUUGCUGCUAAUACCGGAUGAUGACGUAAGUCCAAAGAUUUAUCGCCCAAGGAUGAGCCCGCGUAGGAUUAGCUUGUUGGUGAGGUAAGAGCUCACCAAGGCGACGAUCCUUAGCUGGUCUGAGAGGAUGAUCAGCCACACUGGGACUGAGACACGGCCCAGACUCCUACGGGAGGCAGCAGUGGGGAAUAUUGGACAAUGGGCGAAGGCCUGAUCCAGCAAUGCCGCGUGAGUGAUGAAGGCCUUAGGGUUGUAAGGCUCUUUACCCGGAUGAUAAUGACAGUACCGGAGAAUAAGCUCCGGCUAACUCCGUACCAGCAGCCGC
rnacentral:rRNA from 1 species